GUCAAGUAGCGUAAAAGGCGCUGCUAGUCGGGCGUGCCCUUCCGGGGGCACGCGCGGCGACAUCAUCAAAUUGUCGGGGACCUCCUAAAGCUGGCAGCUACCAAGCGGGCGCCGAAAGGCAGCCCGUGGCCGGGGUAAUGACCUUGGGUAGGGUAAAAACGCGCCAGAUGCCACAAUGGACAAUCCGCAGCCAAGUCCUACGUCCGCCGGGCCCCGGCCCUGCGGAUAGGGAUGCAGUUCAACGACUAGACGGUGGUGGGCUUCCCGCCGGGGGGCGCGACCUGCGCAGCCCGUCGGGGUGGCUUAAGAUAUAGUCUACUCCCAGGCCGAAAGGCCGGG
rnacentral:ncRNA from 1 species